CAUGAUGAGUUUAUAACUUAUUUUGUUAUAUGCUCUAUGAAAUACUUUAUUUUGUAUUAUCUGUUAUUUUCUAAAUAUUGUAUUAUCAUGAAAAAUUUAUGCUUGAUCCGAUAAGGAAGUGCAAGUUCUACUUACUGGGCUAGUGUAGCUCAUAUUCUUUUUGUUUUCUUUUUGUUUGAACAGAGAAAUAAGGUUAGGAUCGGCAAAGGAAUCCAAGCUUGA
rnacentral:lncRNA from 1 species